CGUCCCCUCUCUCUACAUUCUCUCUCUAGAAACCUCGGCUUGUCCCCCAUUCAUGAAUUCAUCUGAGCAUGGGCAGUAGCUUCCUCACUCCCCCCGCGAAGCGCCGUCCCAUGUCCCAAGCCUCGGCCGCCUCGAUGCCCGACCCCAGCCCCAGCCUCCCCGCCGCCGCCGCAGCCGCAGCCGCCGCCGCCAAGCGCUCCCGGGCCCCGCCGCCGCCGCUCUCCGUGCCCCCCGGCCACGCGGCGUUCCGCCUCCUCUGCCACGCGUCCCGCAUCGGCGGGGUCAUCGGCAAGUCCGGCGCCACCGUCAAGCACCUCCAGCAGCUGACCGGCGCGAGGAUUCGGGUCGAGGACGCGCCCCAGGAGUCGCCCGACCGGGUCAUCACCGUGAUCGCCCCGAGCGCGGUCGCGGCCAAGGUCUCUGUCUCGGUCUCGGUCUCGCCCGACGGCGGCGGCGGCGGCGAGGGCCGUGACGAGAGCCCGGGGGCGAGCGAUGGUAGCGGCGAUGUCGAGGGCAAGGUGGAGGUGUCCAAAGCGCAGGAGGCGCUGGUUAAGGUUUUCGAGAGGAUCCUGGAAGUCGCGGCGGAGAGCAACGGAGUUGGCGUGGGGGUUGGGGUGGUUUCUUGCAGGGUUUUGGCGGGGAAGAGCCAGGCCGGGUCGGUGAUCGGCAAAGGAGGGAAGACUGUGGAGAAGAUAAGGAAGGAAAGUGGCUGCAAGAUUAGGGUUUUGACGGAGCAGCUGCCGGCAUGCGCUUCUGCCGGCGAAGAAAUGAUAGAGAUUGAAGGGGAGGUUCAUGGAGUAAAGAAGGCACUUGUUGCAGUCUCUGGCUGCCUUCAAGAAUGUCCACCAGCUGAUAAGAUACCCGACAAGGCUCGGACGACUGGUGGCAGAACUCUUGAUUCUUUAUCCCUCCAUACUUUGCCUGAAAUUUACGGAGAUCUUCCUCAGCGGAACACAGGGUUAUCCGCAAUGCCAAGUGGAGCAGUUAAUUAUGGUGCAGGAGUUCAUCCCUUGGCUGUUGAAGUGGACCGGGCCCCUACCAUUGAAGCGAAAGCACUUAAGCAAGAAGUUAGCUACAGGAUUCUUUGUUCCAAUGACAGGGUUGGGGGUGUCAUUGGAAGGGGGGGCUCCAUUGUUAAGGCUCUUCAGAAUGAAUCAGGUGCUUCAAUAAGUGUUGGACCUACUGUCGCUGAGUCUGAUGAGCGACUAAUAACUAUUACGGCUUCUGAGAAUCCCGAAUCACACUACUCACCUGCACAAAGGGCUGUUGUUCUUGUUUUCAAGAGGUCAAUUGAAGCUGGCACCGAAAAGGGUCUCGAUUCUGGCUCAGGUCCUGUUACUGCUCGUCUUGUAGUCCUGUCGAACCUCGUUGGUUGCUUGUUGGGAAAAGGAGGCUCUAUAGUUUCAGAAACACGGAGGAUAACAGGAGCUAACAUUUGGAUAAUGGUGGGUGACCAGGUCCCUAAGUGUGCUUCAGAGGAUGAUGGAGUGGUACAGAUUUCAGGGGAGUUUUCUAACGUUCAAAAUGCGUUAUACAAUAUAACUGGUAGACUACGAGAUAAUAUUAUUUCCAGCUCAUCGAACAAUUUGGGAAGCAGGACGGCUUCCUCUGUUUUGGCAGAGAGUAGUCCUUAUGGAAGACUAAAGGAUCCUGUUGCUCUGGGUUUGGACACAUCAUCUGGUGAUUCUCCAGGUCUUAGCAGAUACAUGACUUUGACAGCCAGUACAGAUCAACUUGAAUUAAGGCAUCAUCUUGAUCAUCCUUCCGCACCGAGGUUGUGGACAUCACAGGGAGUUGCUGGAGUUCCACAAAGGAGCAACUCAGAUGUUGGCAGAGGUUUGCAGGGAGUUGCUGGAGUUCCACAAAGGAGCAACUCAGAUGUUGGCAGAGGUUUGACAUCACUAAGAAGUGGUACAGAACUUGGCAGUGGGAGUAAAUCUGCUAUUGUGACGAACACUACAGUCGAGAUCGUUGUACCUGAAAAUGUCAUCCACUGUGUGUAUGGGGAGAACGGUAGCAAUUUGAGUAGACUGAGACAGAUCUCUGGUGCAAAGGUUACGGUGCAUGAACCUCGUCUGGGGAAAAGUGAGAGUACCGUUGUCAUCUCUGGCACACCGGAUGAGGCUCAGGCUGCGCAAAGUCUUCUUCAUGCGUUUAUUCUCACCGGUUCAUGACUACACAUUCACUAACGAAACCAUCGGCUCUGCAUUUUGAGCAGUUUCUUCUCUUUUCUAGUGGUGCUGUGAGGACCCAUGCGGGCAUCUGGCGAGCCGUGAAGAGGGAGAGGGAGAGAUUGGGCGAGAGAGAUGUUGCGCUGGGGCCAUUGCCAUGACGGUCGUCGGAGAUGCCGCGACUUGGUGUCUGUUGAGGUUGAUACUAAGGCAGGAGCGAUAAUUUUUGGACUGGGGAUUUUGAAUGGCCUUGAUUAUUUUUGUAUCUUAGGGAUAUAGAUUCUAUUUGUUUCAUAGAAAAUGAUUGAUUCCGAAAUGUUAAUUAUAUCGUUUAAAAUUGAAUGAACAGUAAAUAUUUUCAUCGU